rnacentral:rRNA from 1 species
AGAGUUUGAUCCUGGCUCAGGAUGAACGCUGGCUACAGGCUUAACACAUGCAAGUCGAGGGGAAACGACGGGGAAGCUUGCUUCCCCGGGCGUCGACCGGCGCACGGGUGAGUAACGCGUAUCCAACCUGCCUCUGACUGAGGGAUAACCCGUCGAAAGUCGGCCUAAUACCUCAUGGCAUCGUCUGCGGGCAUCCAACGACGAUUAAAGAUUUCAUCGGUCAGAGAUGGGGAUGCGUCUGAUUAGCUGGUUGGCGGGGUAACGGCCCACCAAGGCUACGAUCAGUAGGGGUUCUGAGAGGAAGGUCCCCCACAUUGGAACUGAGACACGGUCCAAACUCCUACGGGAGGCAGCAGUGAGGAAUAUUGGUCAAUGGGCGAGAGCCUGAACCAGCCAAGUAGCGUGCAGGAUGACGGCCCUAUGGGUUGUAAACUGCUUUUAUGUGGGGAUAAAGUGAGCUACGUGUAGUUUAUUGCAGGUACCAUAUGAAUAAGGACCGGCUAAUUCCGUGCCAGCAGCCGCGGUAAUACGGAAGGUCCAGGCGUUAUCCGGAUUUAUUGGGUUUAAAGGGAGCGUAGGCUGGAGAUUAAGUGUGUUGUGAAAUGUAGACGCUCAACGUCUGACUUGCAGCGCAUACUGGUUUCCUUGAGUACGCACAACGUUGGCGGAAUUCGUCGUGUAGCGGUGAAAUGCUUAGAUAUGACGAAGAACUCCGAUUGCGAAGGCAGCUGACGGGAGCGCAACUGACGCUUAAGCUCGAAGGUGCGGGUAUCGAACAGGAUUAGAUACCCUGGUAGUCCGCACAGUAAACGAUGGAUGCCCGCUGUUGGUACCUGGUAUCAGCGGCUAAGCGAAAGCAUUAAGCAUCCCACCUGGGGAGUACGCCGGCAACGGUGAAACUCAAAGGAAUUGACGGGGGCCCGCACAAGCGGAGGAACAUGUGGUUUAA